AAACGAUUCACCCUUUUGAUUGGCGUCAGGUAUCUCUUACCUAUCUGGGUAUAAUUAACUAAAAAUACAUUUCUUUUGUUUAAGGAAAAUCACACAGCUUUGUUAUAUAGUUUAGAAGGUCAAAUGAGCAAGUGGGGGGAUUCGGGAGUGUCAUGGCCGGGACAUGUGGACUCUCUUAAAAUGAUGAUCCUGCCCCAUAUUCUAUAUCUCUUCCACACUCUACCUAUUGCCGUACGUAAUGCAAUGUUAAAACAAUUUCAACAACGUAUCAAUGCGUAUAUAUGGAUUUAG